rnacentral:rRNA from 1 species
UAUGUGAUCGUCUCUCGCAUAUCAAUAAGCGGAGGAAAAGAAACUAACAAGGAUUCCCCUAGUAACGGCGAGUGAAGCGGGAAGAGCUCAAAUUUGAAAUCUUAAAGGGUUUCCCUUUACGAAUUGUAGUUUAAAGAAGCGUUUUCUGUUGAGGUUUUGGUAAAAGUUCUUUGGAAUAGGACAUCAUAGAGGGUGAGAAUCCCGUAUUUGACCUUUACUUUCAACUUUGUGAUACACUUUCAAAGAGUCGGAUUGUUUGGGAAUGCAGUCCAAAAUGGGUGGUAAAUUUCAUCUAAAGCUAAAUAUUGGCGAGAGACCGAUAGCGAGCAAGUACCGUGAGGGAAAGAUGAAAAGAACUUUGAAAAGAGAGUUAAACAGUACGUGAAAUUGUCAAAAGGGAAGCGUUUGACACCAGUGUUGUUUUUCUGAAAAUCAAUUAAAGAACUGUUUAUGCUAAGCUGUUUAGACUUUAUCAGCUAUCUGUUUAGUUUUGAGCUUUUCUUUAAUGCACUUUUCAGUUAACAAGUCAACAUCAAUUUCUUUUGCUGUAAAAAAGCUUGAGGAAGGUGGCUUGAGAUUCGUCUUAAGUGUUUAUAGCCUCUUGCCUAUGCAGUCGGAGAGAUUGAGGUCUGCAGCGUAGAUCCUUCGGGGCUAAAUGCAUUUGUGCUAAGUUAUAGCAUUUUAUAGACAACUUGUUGACUAUGAUUUGUCUUGUAGCUUACUCGCUUAUGUUAUUUUACCUACGCUUAGGAUGUUGAAGACUCUACAGAGAU